UGUCAUUUUAUAAUAAAUACAAUGUUGUAACAACGCAUCAUAUUCUUACAAAACAGUUCAGUAGCACUAGUAAAUGCAUUAUUAUUCCAUUAUCCCAAUUUGGAAGAAAUUACAGUCAAUUUUGCUUUAAAAGAAAUCUUACAGUCUACAAAACAAAUUUUAUUAGAUUGCUGCCUUUCUGGGGUAAAAGUUUGAUAAAUCCGUAUUUUAAAAGAAAAUGAAUAAAUGUGUUCAUGUUUCCAUGAUGAAUUAGACUUAGAAUGAAAUUCAAAACAGUGUAGCUGUGGCCAUUUAUUGACACAUUGAAAUCAUCCAUUGACUGGGACAAUUUAGGUGAACGUUUGUAUGUAACGACCAAUGCUCACUAUGCACUUUUUAAAGACA
rnacentral:lncRNA from 1 species